rnacentral:rRNA from 1 species
ACAUAUCAAUAAGCGGAGGAAAAGAAACCAACAGGGAUUGCCCUAGUAACGGCGAGUGAAGCGGCAUCAGCUCAAAUUUGAAAUCUGGCUCUUUCAGAGUCCGAGUUGUAAUUUGCAGAGGGCGCUUUGGUGUCGGCAGCGGUCCAAGUUCCUUGGAACAGGACGUCACAGAGGGUGAGAAUCCCGUACGUGGUCGCUGACCUACACCGUGUAAAGCCCCUUCGACGAGUCGAGUUGUUUGGGAAUGCAGCUCUAAAUGGGAGGUAAAUUUCUUCUAAAGCUAAAUACUGGCCAGAGACCGAUAGCGCACAAGUAGAGUGAUCGAAAGAUGAAAAGCACUUUGGAAAGAGAGUCAAACAGCACGUGAAAUUGUUGAAAGGGAAGCGCUUGCAGCCAGACUUGCUUGUAGUUGCUCAUCCGGGCUUUUGCCCGGUGCACUCUUCUGCGAGCAGGCCAGCAUCAGUUUGGACGGUUGGAUAAAGGCCUCUGUCACGUACCUUCUCUCGGGAAGGCCUUAUAGGGGAGGCGUCAUGCAACCAGUCUGGACUGAGGUCCGCGCAUCUGCUAGGAUGCUGGCGUAAUGGCUGUAAGCGGCCCGUCUUGAAACACGGACCAAGGAGUCUAACAUCUAUGCGAGUGUUUGGGUGUCAAGCCCGAGCGCGUAAUGAAAGUGAACGGAGGUGGGAUCCCGCAAGGGUGCACCAUCGACCGAUCCUGAUGUCUUCGGAUGGAUUUGAGUAAGAGCAUGGCUGUUGGGACCCGAAAGAUGGUGAACUAUGCUUGAAUAGGGUGAAGCCAGAGGAAACUCUGGUGGAGGCUCGCAGCGGUUUCUGACGUGCAAAUCGA